rnacentral:rRNA from 1 species
UACGUAGGGUGCAAGCGUUGUCCGGAAUUAUUGGGCGUAAAGAGCUCGUAGGCGGUCUGUCGCAUCUGCUGUGAAAACUCGGGGCUUAACCCCGGGCCUGCAGUGGGUACGGGCAGACUAGAGUGAUGUAGGGGAGACUGGAAUUCCUGGUGUAGCGGUGAAAUGCGCAGAUAUCAGGAGGAACACCGAUGGCGAAGGCAGGUCUCUGGGCAUUAACUGACGCUGAGGAGCGAAAGCAUGGGGAGCGAACAGG